rnacentral:sRNA from 1 species
GCCUGGCAUGGUGGCACAGGCCUGUAAUCCCACUACUCAGGGGGGUAGAGCAGGUGGGAUUUCUGUGAGUUGAGUUCAAGGCCAACCUGGUCUA